UAGCAACCAAUACAGCCUUGACACACCUAGGUUUUUAUUUGAUUUUAGGUUUUGCUGUGUUGCUUUUCUUUAGGGUUUGGAGGACAUUCAAAUAGUCAUCUUACAUGUGGCUCUAGGGUUUGGCCAUCUAAAUGUAUGCUUAUCAUGACAUUCCAAAACAAUUGGCUGAUAUGAUGGCUAGUUUAUUUGAUGGUUUAUCCAAACAAUUGGCUGGGUUUAACAUUUCAUUUAGACAAAUGAGAUUUGACACAUACAAGCUUCCAUUCAUUCAGUUAAAGGUAACAAAUGGAACACAUGCAUUGAGGCCCACAUAGGUAUAUAUUUCUCUCUGUCAGAUU
rnacentral:lncRNA from 1 species